rfam:Ipomoea nil DNA, scaffold: scaffold2441, cultivar: Tokyo-kokei standard.
GCUUGUCUAGCUUAGUUAGUAGAGUGUAAAGCUUUUAAACUUGUUAUUGUGGGAUCAAGCCCCACGAUGGGUG